GGGCACUUAGGGUAGUCUGGAUAUCCUUUCGGCCUUCGGAGCCGAAGACGUGGGUUCGAAUCCUGCAGUGCCCGC
rnacentral:tRNA from 1 species